rnacentral:rRNA from 2 species
AGCGGGAAGAGCUCAAAUUUAAAAUCUGGCCGGGUUACCGGUCCGAGUUGUAGUUUAAAGAAGUGUUUUCGGCGGCAACCUGGGUACAAGUCCUUUGGAACAGGGCAUCAUAGAGGGUGAGAAUCCCGUCCAUGACUCAGUGGAUGCUGCUAUGUGAUACACUUUCAAAGAGUCGAGUUGUUUGGGAUUGCAGCUCAAAAUGGGUGGUAAAUUUCAUCUAAAGCUAAAUACAGGCGAGAGACCGAUAGCGAACAAGUACCGGGAGGGAAAGAUGAAAAGAACUUUGAAAAGAGAGUUAAACAGUGCGUGAAAUUGUUGAAAGGGAAACGUUUGGCACCAGUCAUGCGUUCAGGAAAUCAGUCUAUCGAGGUGGGGAGCUGCAGAGGUUUGGACCGCAAGGCCAGCUUUUGUUGCAUUUCUGUCUGGAUGGAUGCACUUUUCUGUAUGCAGGUCAACAUCAUUUUUGUUCGCCGGACAAAACCUCAAGAGAAUGUGGCAGCUUUGGCUGUGUUAUAGCUCUGGGGCGAUACGGUGGGUGAGACUGAGGCUUUCAGUGUGUGCUUUCGGGCAAGGCUGACCGGGUGCUGCGGGCCAGUACAAGGUACAAUACAUGUAUUUUGCUUCGUGUCUGGUUUGCACUCGCUCGAAUCGGCUCU